rnacentral:rRNA from 1 species
GACGAACGCUGGCGGCGUGCUUAACACAUGCAAGUCGAACGGAAAGGCCCUGCUUUUGUGGGGUGCUCGAGUGGCGAACGGGUGAGUAACACGUGAGUAACCUGCCCUUGACUUUGGGAUAACUUCAGGAAACUGGGGCUAAUACCGGAUAGGAGCUCCUGCUGCAUGGUGGGGGUUGGAAAGUUUCGGCGGUUGGGGAUGGACUCGCGGCUUAUCAGCUUGUUGGUGGGGUAGUGGCUUACCAAGGCUUUGACGGGUAGCCGGCCUGAGAGGGUGACCGGCCAAAUGGGGACUGGGAAACGGCCCAGACCCCGACGGGAGGGAGGGGUGGGGAAUAUUGCACAAGGGGGGGAGGCCUGAUGAAGCAACGCCGGGGGGGGGAUGACGGCCUUGGGGUUGUAAACCGCUUUCGCCUGUGACGAAGCGUGAGUGACGGUAAUGGGUAAAGAAGCACCGGCUAACUACGU